CGAGUCGUGAGUCUUAGGGACUCGGCAUACUGCUCAGUAACACGUGCCAUUCCUGCCCUAUCGUCUGGAAUAACCUCGGGAAACUGAGACUUAGGCCGGAUAGUUCACAAUGCCUGGAACGGUUUGUGAAUCAAGGUAGGAUGGGUCUGCGGCGUAUCAGGUUGUAGGGGGUGUAAAGGACCCCCUAGCCUUCGACGCGUACGGGUGUUGGGAGACAUAGCCCGGAGAUGGAUUCUGAGACACGAAUCCAGACCCUACGGGGUGCAGCAGGCGCGAAAACUUCACACUGCAGGAAACCGUGAUGAGGGAACUCCUAGUGCAUGCACUAUGUGUAUGUAGAUCCUACUCUUAACAAGUAGAGGGAAAGGGCUGGGAAAGACCGGUGCCAGCCGCCGCGGUAAUACCGGCAGCUCAAGUGGUCGUCGCUUUUAUUGGGCCUAAAACGUCCGUAGCCUGUUUGGUAAAUCUGUGGGUAAAUCAAUCCGCUCAACGGAUUGAAUUCUGCAGAGACUGCCAGACUAGGGACCGGGAGAGGUGUGGGGUACUCGAGGGGUAGGGGUAAAAUCCUGUCAUCCUUCGAGGACCACCAGUUGCGAAGGCGCCACACUGGAACGGAUCCGACGGUCAGGGACGAAGCCUAGGGGCACGAACCGGAUUAGAUACCCGGGUAGUCCUAGGUGUAAACGCUGUGAACUUGGUGUCGGGGGUCCGCAAGGAGUCCCCGGUGCCGGAGUGAAGAUGUUAAGUUCACUGCCUGGGGAGUACGGUCGCAAGGCUGAUACUCAAAUGAAUUGACG
rnacentral:rRNA from 1 species